rnacentral:rRNA from 1 species
UACGAAGGGAGCUAGCGUUGUUCGGAAUCACUGGGCGUAAAGCGCACGUAGGCGGAUUUGUCAGUCAGGGGUGAAAUCCCGGGGCUCAACCUCGGAACUGCCUUUGAUACAGCAAGUCUUGAGUUCGAGAGAGGUGGGUGGAAUUCCUAGUGUAGAGGUGAAAUUCGUAGAUAUUAGGAAGAACACCGGUGGCGAAGGCGGCCCACUGGCCCGAUACUGACGCUGAGGCACGAAAGCGUGGGGAGCAAACAGG